rnacentral:rRNA from 1 species
UGGGGAAUUUUGGACAAUGGGGGCAACCCUGAUCCAGCAAUGCCGCGUGUGUGAAGAAGGCCUUCGGGUUGUAAAGCACUUUUGUCCGGGAAGAAAUCGCACCUGAUAAUACCGGGUGUGGAUGACGGUACCGGAAGAAUAAGGACCGGCUAACUACGUGCCAGCAGCCGCGGUAAUACGUAGGGUCCAAGCGUUAAUCGGAAUUACUGGGCGUAAAGCGUGCGCAGGCGGUUGUGCAAGACCGAUGUGAAAUCCCCGGGCUUAACCUGGGAAUUGCAUUGGUGACUGCACGGCUAGAGUGUGUCAGAGGGGGGUAGAAUUCCACGUGUAGCAGUGAAAUGCGUAGAGAUGUGGAGGAAUACCGAUGGCGAAGGCAGCCCCCUGGUAUAACACUGACGCUAAUGCACGAAAGCGUGGGGAGCAAACAGG